UACGGAGGGAGCUAGCGUUAUUCGGAAUUACUGGGCGUAAAGCGCACGUAGGCGGCUUUGUAAGUUAGAGGUGAAAGCCUGGAGCUCAACUCCAGAAUUGCCUUUGAUACUGCAUGGCUUGAAUCCAGGAGAGGUGAGUGGAAUUCCGAGUGUAGAGGUGAAAUUCGUAGAUAUUCGGAAGAACACCAGUGGCGAAGGCGGCUCACUGGACCGGUAUUGACGCUGAGGUGCGAAAGCGUGGGGAGCAAACAGG
rnacentral:rRNA from 1 species